rnacentral:rRNA from 1 species
UGAUCCUACGGGGGGCAGCAGUGGGGAAUAUUGGGCAAUGGGCGCAAGCCUGACCCAGCAACGCCGCGUGAAGGAAGAAGGCUUUCGGGUUGUAAACUUCUUUUGUCAGGGACGAAGCAAGUGACGGUACCUGACGAAUAAGCCACGGCUAACUACGUGCCAGCAGCCGCGGUAAUACGUAGGUGGCAAGCGUUAUCCGGAUUUAUUGGGUGUAAAGGGCGUGUAGGCGGGAAUGCAAGUCAGAUGUGAAAUCCGGGGGCUCAACCCCUGAACUGCAUUUGAAACUGUCGUUCUUGAGUACUGGG